rnacentral:misc_RNA from 1 species
AACUCCAGAUUUUACACAAUUUCAUAAUAUGAAAUUAUGAAUGAGAGGACCUUAUAUCAAGACAACUAACAACCUUUCACAUCAUAUGCUAGAUUUUUAACUUUUAUGUAUUGAUUCCAGUAUCAGAGAAACAAAAUUUUACCAAAUACAGAAGUUCACAUCCUUGUUUUGUGAUUAUGUUACCAACGUAAUCAUUUUAAUAUGCCCAAACAUGAAUGAGUAUACCCAUAUCUAAAGAAAAAGUUGCAUAUUUCACAUCUCACACUAAUUUGUUGAUUUUGUCAACUUUCAUGUAUUGAUUCAAACAUUAGAGAAAUGAAAUUUACCCAAAAUUUAAACUUCAAAAUAUUGCUUUAUGAAGCCAUUAUAAAAUGAAUUUGUUCAAAAGAUACCAUAAUAACAUUUAAGCACCUUUAUUUAGCAGAUAUAUACAACAUGCAAACAAUAGAGAGAGUAUCUAGUGCCAUAUAUGUAUACAUAGACACAUGUACACACAAAUGUCUAAACAUAUACCAUAGAAUGACAAAUAUGCAUGGAAGUGUAUAUGCAUAUAUAACUGACCACAGUUUCUUAUCAGGUUCAUUUUGAUUUCAGUUUUUAAACUUGAGUGCUUGCAAAUGCAUGGUUCUUUUCAUCCACCUAUGCCUAAUCAUGCAUUAAUUUUUAUGCUUAAGCUCAGCAAUCAAUUUCUGUUAUCUCCACAUGCAUAUUUCCAUUAUUCCAAUGCAAAAAAAGCAUCCCUCCAUAGUCGCAGACAAAGAGCUAAAAAAAAGAGGUUUAAAAGGCCCAAGAAACCUAGAAUUGUGGUCUAGGUUUCACAUAAGCUUGUUUGGGACAUUAUUGAGCAUCUUCUACUCUUUCUAGUCUUUAUUUACGAGUAAUUUUUCUACUAUUUAUAGUCCAUAUUUCAGUAAAUUAGCUGCUGGUCCAACUUUUAAAUCUUAGGAGCACUGUUGUAAUUUCAGGAUUUGCCAGAAAACGAGAUUUAUUUUUUAGUUUUAUUGUCAAGUUUAGGAACAAUUUAAGUAAGGUUAGAAGAAAAAGUGUAGCUCGAACAAAGUGGUGGAAGUUUAAAGGAGUAAAGCAAGUGA